rnacentral:rRNA from 1 species
AGAGUUUGAUCAUGGCUCAGGACGAACGCUGGCGGCACGCUUAACACAUGCAAGUCGAACGAGAGGAGAGGAGCUUGCUUUUCUGAUCUAGUGGCGGACGGGUGAGUAACACGUGAGCAAUCUGCCUUUCAGAGGGGGAUACCGAUUGGAAACGAUCGUUAAUACCGCAUAACAUAAUUGAACCGCAUGAUUUGAUUAUCAAAGAUUUAUCGCUGAAAGAUGAGCUCGCGUCUGAUUAGCUAGUUGGUAAGGUAACGGCUUACCAAGGCGACGAUCAGUAGCCGGACUGAGGGGUUGAUCGGCCACAUUGGGACUGAGACACGGCCCAGACUCCUACGGGAGGCAGCAGUGGGGAAUAUUGCACAAUGGAGGAAACUCUGAUGCAGCGAUGCCGCGUGAGGGAAGAAGGUUUUAGGAUUGUAAACCUCUGUCUUCAGGGACGAAAAAAGACGGUACCUGAGGAGGAAGCUCCGGCUAACUACGUGCCAGCAGCCGCGGUAAUACGUAGGGAGCGAGCGUUGUCCGGAAUUACUGGGUGUAAAGGGAGCGUAGGCGGGAUCGCAAGUCAGAUGUGAAAACUAUGGGCUUAACCCAUAAACUGCAUUUGAAACUGUGGUUCUUGAGUGAAGUAGAGGUAAGCGGAAUUCCUAGUGUAGCGGUGAAAUGCGUAGAUAUUAGGAGGAACAUCAGUGGCGAAGGCGGCUUACUGGGCUUUAACUGACGCUGAGGCUCGAAAGCGUGGGGAGCAAACAGGAUUAGAUACCCUGGUAGUCCACGCCGUAAACGAUGAUUACUAGGUGUGGGGGGACUGACCCCUUCCGUGCCGCAGCAAACGCAAUAAGUAAUCCACCUGGGGAGUACGACCGCAAGGUUGAAACUCAAAGGAAUUGACGGGGGCCCGCACAAGCAGUGGAGUAUGUGGAUUAAUUCGAAGCAACGCGAAGAACCUUACCAGGUCUUGACAUCGUAUGCAUAGCUCAGAGAUGAGUGAAAUCUCUUCGGAGACAUAUAGACAGGUGGUGCAUGGUUGUCGUCAGCUCGUGUCGUGAGAUGUUGGGUUAAGUCCCGCAACGAGCGCAACCCUUACUGUUAGUUGCUACGCAAGAGCACUCUAGCAGGACUGCCGUUGACAAAACGGAGGAAGGUGGGGAUGACGUCAAAUCAUCAUGCCCCUUAUGACCUGGGCCUCACACGUACUACAAUGGCUGUCAACAGAGGGAAGCAAAGCCGCGAGGUGGAGCGAACCCCUAAAAGCAGUCUUAGUUCGGAUUGUAGGCUGCAACCCGCCUACAUGAAGUCGGAAUUGCUAGUAAUCGCAGAUCAGCAUGCUGCGGUGAAUACGUUCCCGGGCCUUGUACACACCGCCCGUCACGCCAUGGGAGUCGGUAACACCCGAAGCCUGUAGUCUAACCGCAAGGAGGACGCAGUCGAAGGUGGGAUUGAUGACUGGGGUGAAGUCGUAACAAGGUA